UUAAUUUAAUUAUUUAAGAUAAUAGUUAAUUAAUUGAUUAAAUUUUUACUUGAUUAGUUUAUUAGACUUUAAAUAAUUAAUUGUUUUUGUUAAGUAGAUUAUUUGAUUAAUUGUUUAAUCAAUCAGAUUGUGUUAAGUCAACUAAUUAGGAAAUUUCUUCAUCCAUAUCCAUACCCUAACAUAUGUAAAUAAUUAUCUCACUAACAUAACAUCCAAUAAUCAAUUUCAAUCUCUUCAAAGUAUUUUCUUAAAUAAAAUUGAAAGAAA
rnacentral:lncRNA from 1 species